GGUCCCGUAGCGCAGAGGCAGACGCGCCGCUUUCGCAAGGCGGAGACGCAGGUUCGAAUCCUGCCGGGACCA
rnacentral:tRNA from 1 species